rnacentral:lncRNA from 1 species
GGUCUGUUGAAGGACUGUGAGGAGGGGAGGUCUGUUGAAGGACUGUGAGGAGGGGAGGUCUGUUGAAGGACUGUGAGGAGGGGAGGUCUGUUGAAGGGCUGUGAGGAGGGGAGGUCUGUUGAAGGACUGUGAGGAGUGGAGGUCUGUUGAAGGUCUGUGAGGAGGGGAGGUCUGUUGAAGGACUGUGAGGAGUGGAGGACUGUUGAAGGACUGUGAGGAGGGGAGGUCUGUUGAAGGACUGUGAGGAGGGGAGGUCUGUGAGGAGGGGAGGUCUGUUGAAGGACUGUGAGGAGGGGAGGACUGUUGAAGGGCUGUGAGGAGGGGAGGUCUGUUGAAGGACUGUGAGGAGGGGAGGUCU